UACGUAGGGGGCCAGCGUUGUCCGGAAUCAUUGGGCGUAAAGAGCGCGUAGGCGGCCAGACAGGUCCGGUGUGAAAGUCACAGGCUCAACCUGUGAAUGCCGCUGGAAACUGUCUGGCUAGAGUCCGGAAGGGGCGAGUGGAAUUCCUGGUGUAGCGGUGAAAUGCGCAGAUAUCAGGAGGAACACCAAUGGCGAAGGCAGCUCGCUGGAACGGUACUGACGCUGAGGCGCGAAAGCGUGGGGAGCGAACAGG
rnacentral:rRNA from 1 species